AGGCUGCUUCUAGCCCCUCCCUGCCCACACUCCUGAUUGCUCCAGUCCUAAGUUAGCUUCAGGUUUUCCUCUGACGCUGAUCAUGGAGGUGGAAUCCAUGGUCUGGAUAAACCAUCUGGAGGAAGCUCUGUCGUUCCCCCACCACUGCCCCCACCCAACCUGGGCCCUACACACACACACACACACAUACACACACACACAAACACACACACACACACAUACACACGCGCCCGUGCCCUCAGCAACCUCUGUGGGGCAGGAAGAUGGAAAGGAAACCCCUUGUCUGUUAUCAUCUUUAACACUUGUGCUCUAGUUAUAACAGGGUUAACCUCAGAAGACAGGGGUCAGAAAAGUGGGUACAUAAUGGGGGCCAGGGGUCCCUGGGUGAUAGGAGGCAAUGCCAAGGCCCUGCUGGGAGGAGUGGACCCUAUCAGGUGUAGGGAUCAGAGAGGAGAUUCAGCUCCUGCUGCUUUGCCCUGUAGACUCUGUGCAGCCCCCUCCCUAGGUGGAGAGGUUGCUCAUUGUUCCCUUAUCUCUGCAAGGCAGUGACAGCCUCUCCUCCAAGGCUACUGAUCACAUGGUAUUGUUAUCAUCCUGUGCCUGUCACCAGCCAGGGCUGUGGGGCUGUCGAUUUCUGAUGAACAGCACCUGAGCGCCAAAGGGAAUCUGUUCUUGGCCUUAUCUCUAGCCUGUGUAUACUGCUUGGGUUCCACGUUCACCAUCCCAGUGGAGCCAUCACUGUACCAGUAGCAGUCCCUGGGGUAACCAGAUAAGGUGCUAGCUGUCCGUGCCCUGAGCUCUGAAGUCAAUGGCUGUGGGGAGGCGGCAACCCUCAGACUGGCAUCUCCUGGCCAAGUUGGCAUCUCCGGGCAUCUUUCUGGGGGCACAGUGACAGUUUUGGCAAUGCCCAAGGCACAGAACUUAGCUCGGGGAAUGUCCCCAGCUUCAAGGCUCCCUAGCUGCGCGGCUUUACACAUCUUUUCAUUUGCAUACAGUUUCCUUUCCCAGCUGAACAAGGGAGAAAAAUGAGUCAGCACCAAGGGCAGCGCCUUGUGAGGCUUUCCAGUAAGAGGUGGAGGGAAGGGAAGGAAGGAAGGAAUGGAGGGAGGAGAGAAGAGGCAAAGGAAAAUAAGGGAAGGGGAGAGAAUGGGGAGGGACUGGAAGGGGGAGAUUUCUUUUUUUGUUGUUGUUGUUGUUGUUUUUGUUUUUUUUUUAUUUUUAUUAUCCCACUGUACAGCAAGGGGGUCAGGUUAUCCUUACAUGUAUACAUUACAAUUAUAUUUUGGGGGGAGAUUUCUUUUGAAGGCCAAAAAACAGUGUGUUGUUUUGGGAAAUGGACUUUUCAACUUGCUCAUGGUUGCAAAGUCUAACUAUUUAGCCAAGGCACAAUGAGUGAGACUAAAAGUCUUUCCUAUCUUAUACAGGAAGGACUUGGGGCAAUUAGAUAUUCCAUAUCAAUACUGGCUAAAGAAGGAACUUGAAGGAAGUGACAACAACAAAAAUAAAGUUAGUUUACUGUGUCAUGCUCUGUGCCAAAUUCUUUAUCUACUACGACUCAUAUAAUCCACCCCCCAAUCCAUCAGAGAGUAUAAGGUGUCAUGGCAGUUAUGAAGUACAUCAAUAUCUGUGUGCAAGGUCCAUGCCACACGGCUUCUACCUCUGGCUAAAUACCAUAUGAACAUUUUUUUUUUGGUCUUUUUAGGGCCACACCCACAGCACAUGGAGGUUCCCAGGCUAGGAGUCAAAUUGGCGCUGUAGCCACUGGCCUAUGCCAUAGCCACAGCAAUGCCAGAUCCAAGCCAUGUCAGUGACCUACACCACAGCUUGUGGCAACACCAGAUCCUUAACCCACUAAGCAAGGCCAGGAAUCAAACCUGUGUGUGUCCCCAUGGAUGCUAGUCAGAUUCGUUUCCACUGAGUCAUGACAGGAACUCCCCUGAACGUAUUUUUUUUUUUUUUAAUACAAGGCACGAGCUUAUGAAUCUGCCCAGAAAGGAUCAGGCUGACCCUCCAAAUGGCAGCAGCAGGAUACUCUGGGCUUGGAAGAAGGCACGAUUGGGUGGAAAAUACCACGGUCCUUUAGGAUGAGUUCCAGAGACAAAACUCCAAGCUAUGUUCACACCCAGUUUCCCAUUUCACACGUGUGAAUGCCUCCUGGGCAGGCAGUGUUUUCAGUGAUUCCAGCUCUUCCCAGUUCCAGAAGCCAAUGAAGCCAUGUCCACACAAGGAAUGACUUGAAGCCAGUCCCAUUUGCCUUCUCAGAUGAGUCAGUGAGGCAAAAAAUGUAGACAAUAAAGAGAGUUAAUGACAGGCCUCCCAGCCGGCUGAACUGGCCCUUGGGGACAAGGAGUCAAUGAGCUCCUGUCGCAGCUGUGCUGGCUUCUCGAUUUCUUCAUCUUUUUGCUCCUGCACAGCCCGCUUCCCUGCCUUGCUUGCUGCCUUGGGCAUUGAUUGCAACAACUCAAGCAGCAAAAUAAGACCAUGUGGGCUCUGGGGCACCCCUAGGUCAGUGGUGAGAGGUGGGGGGUGGGGAAGGCAACUUUGUUCUCUUGGCAAAUAAAUGGUCACACAACUUCCCCAGCUCCUAAAAACAAACAAACAAACAUCCUCAGAAAUCCCAUGGAGAUGACAUAAAAGGAGGAUGCCUGGAACCCACAGUUAAUAACACCACUAAUAAUAGCUAAUGUUGAGGUGGGAGGAGGGCUAUUAUGUCAGGCUCUACAACCAAGUGUAUUAUAUACAGCAUGUCAUUUAGUUCCUGCAACAAGCUUCCAAAGCCGAUACUAUUCGUAUUCCCAUUUUACAGAUGAGGAGACUGAGCUCAGAGAAGGGAUGUUACACUUCUAUGGUUGUAGAACAUUUACAUGGUAGCAUGGGAAUUCAAAUCCAGGCCAGUAUUAUUCUAAAGUUCAAGAUGGAUUGCCUCUCUCCUUACACUUUGCCAUGUAGAUCAAUAAGUCAGUUUCAUUAAUUUAUUCAAAAAUUAGCUGCCCUGGUGGGGUAAUGGUCACUAAACCAGGUGUCUAUUAUUCUCUUGUUGACACUAUGCCUUCCUUUACCAGUAAAACUUUGUGUUGUGUCUUCUUAAUACUGGCUGAAUCUCAUGGUUGACAUUCUUGAGUUUGUGAGCAACUAGAACCUUCAAAUCAUUUCCAUAUGAACUUGGAUCAAGUCAGUUUUGUCUGGAUUGAAUUCACACAGAACAUAAUGAUCUCAAGAGAUUUUACUGCCAUAGGGACUUGGUCCCCUCCCCCAAGUAGUCCAAAAUAGGGUAUUGCAUUUAGAUUGGAUGUUACAUUCUCCAUUUUUAAAAAAUUGAAGUAUAACUAAUACACAGUGAAAUGUACUAAUCUCAAGUACACACUCAGCUCAGUUAAUUUUUGCCCAGAUCAAAACAGAGAAUGUUUUCCCUACAAGACUCCCAGUCAAUUCCUCUAUCCCAAAAGUGAUCACUAUGGGUUUCACUUUGUUUGGCUAUGCCUAUGGCAUACAGAAGUUCCUGGGCCAGGGAUCAAACCCACGCCACAGCAGUGACAAUGCCAGAUCCUUAAACUGCUGAGCCACCAGGGAACUCCUGGGCUUUUUUUUGAGGUGGGGGGGUUCUUUUUAUGGUUGUACGUUAGGCAUAUGGAAAUUCCCAGGAUAGGGGUUGAAUCGAAGCCAUAGCUGCAGGCCUAUGCCACAGCCACAGCAAUGCCAGAUCUGAGCUGUAUCUGUGACCUAUACCACAUCUUGCAGCAACACUGGAUUCUUAACCCACUGGGCAAGGCCAGGGGUUGAUCCUGAAUCCUCAUGGCUAUCAGUCAGGUUCUUAGCCCACUGAGCCACACUGGGAACUCCUGGUUUCACUUUCAGAUUUUAAACAUCCACAGUUACAAGUUAUCAACUUUUGCAAAAUGAGAUUUAAAAGUGUAAUAGAAUCCUUCCAUCCUGGAAAAUAAAAUUGGUCAACUUUUCUUUUUCUCAAGUGCUUCUAAGGUUUAAAAAUCUUGUUUCCUCCUGAGAUUUGAUAGCUUUUCAAUUUCAUGUGUUCUAUUUUAAAAAUACUUUAUAUUUUUGUAUGGUUUACAUUUAAGUAUUUAAUUCACUUGGAAUUUAGUUAAUGACAGCUCUGAUGCAAAGGUAAAAACAUAUUUUUUCCUAACCAAUUAUCCUUCUGCCAUUUAUUGAAUGUUUUUAUCUAAAUUAAUCUUUGAAAGUUCUUUUAUUAUAAAUUAAAUUUUUAUAUGUAAUACAUUCCACAUCCCCAAAUUGGGAUGCUACUGAUACAAAAUGAAGAUGAACAUCAGAUGAUGUGGAAUAAAUUAAGUAUAAGAUUU
rnacentral:lncRNA from 1 species